rnacentral:lncRNA from 1 species
UUUGAAUGCAUGAAUUGCUGUCUUACGUGAAUACUGUUUGAUUGGAAAAUUGAGAUAUAAUUACAUUCCCUAUUGCAUGUUUGUUUGUUUAUAUGAUCAUGGUUGAUUUGGAAAUGGAGACUAAAGAAAAAUAGAAAAGUUAUGUGGUUAAAUAAAUAGAUGGAAUGACAACCUUACUAGAUAUCCUAGGAGAUGGUGGACAGAUUAGGUACAUAGAAAACCCUACCGUGAACGUUGUCUCAUACCAGAUGGGCUAUGGGGACGGCUCGCUUUACCCUCAUACCGGACGGGGUAUUGAUGUUUAAUAAUUUAGUGCUCAUACCGGACGGGGUAUGGGGACGGCCCGUAAUUGAGAUUGUUAAAGGAAAGGGGUAACGUGCAGCGGGGACAUCCCUAUUAACCCCCAUGGAUAUUAGUAGGCUAGGGAAAAGGUAACAUUUAUUGUUUGGUUAUUUGAUGAUGUGUAUAGAUUUAUAAUAUGUGCUAUGUUACUGAAUUUACAUGAAAUUAUGAUCCGUAUGAUAUUAUUUUCUACAUAGGUUGUUUUCAUAAAUUCCACCGUGGUAAGUGAACGGUAAAUGAUUUUAUGAUUGAUAAAUGGAUUUGCUAAAUUUAGUGCUCCAUUAGUUGUUUUUGUUUUUAUACCCACCUUCAUUUCUGUGUCGGUGAUGUAUUGUGAUAUCUUUAUUGGGUUAGUGUAGCUCAUUCAUUAUUUAACUAUUUCAGAUCAAGAGGACCAGGUUCCAGAGCCCGAUCCACAAGAAGAUUGCGAGUAGAUGCUAGAUAUUUUCUCUUUUUCGUUUAUUUCCUUAUUUCUUGUGUUUCUUUCAAAAAGGUGAACUUUGUAAUGUUGUUUAG